rnacentral:rRNA from 1 species
UGAGGAAUAUUGGUCAAUGGGCGAGAGCCUGAACCAGCCAAGUCGCGUGAAGGAAGAAGGUUCUAUGGAUUGUAAACUUCUUUUGUAAGGGAAUAAAAAGAGUUACGGGUAACUUAUUGUAUGUACUUUACGAAUAAGGAUCGGCUAACUCCGUGCCAGCAGCCGCGGUAAUACGGAGGAUCCAAGCGUUAUCCGGAUUUAUUGGGUUUAAAGGGUGCGUAGGCGGGUUUUUAAGUCAGUGGUGAAAGUUUGCAGCUCAACUGUAAAAUUGCCAUUGAAACUGAAGACCUUUAGUGUAAAUGAGGUAGGCGGAAUGUGUUGUGUAGCGGUGAAAUGCUUAGAUAUAACACAGAACACCAAUUGCGAAGGCAGCUUACUGGGAUACAACUGACGCUGAGGCACGAAAGCGUGGGGAUCAAACA